GAUGAACGCUGGCGGCGUGCCUAAUACAUGCAAGUCGAGCGAACGGACGAGAAGCUUGCUUCUCUGAUGUUAGCGGCGGACGGGUGAGUAACACGUGGAUAACCUACCUAUAAGACUGGGAUAACUUCGGGAAACCGGAGCUAAUACCGGAUAAUAUUUUGAACCGCAUGGUUCAAAAGUGAAAGACGGUCUUGCUGUCACUUAUAGAUGGAUCCGCGCAGCAUUAGCUAGUUGGUAAGGUAACGGCUUACCAAGGCAACGAUGCAUAGCCGACCUGAGAGGGUGAUCGGCCACACUGGAACUGAGACACGGUCCAGACUCCUACGGGAGGCAGCAGUAGGGAAUCUUCCGCAAUGGGCGAAAGCCUGACGGAGCAACGCCGCGUGAGUGAUGAAGGUCUUCGGAUCGUAAAACUCUGUUAUUAGGGAAGAACAUAUGUGUAAGUAACUGUGCACAUCUUGACGGUACCUAAUCAGAAAGCCACGGCUAACUACGUGCCAGCAGCCGCGGUAAUACGUAGGUGGCAAGCGUUAUCCGGAAUUAUUGGGCGUAAAGCGCGCGUAGGCGGUUUUUUAAGUCUGAUGUGAAAGCCCACGGCUCAACCGUGGAGGGUCAUUGGAAACUGGAAAACUUGAGUGCAGAAGAGGAAAGUGGAAUUCCAUGUGUAGCGGUGAAAUGCGCAGAGAUAUGGAGGAACACCAGUGGCGAAGGCGACUUUCUGGUCUGUAACUGACGCUGAUGUGCGAAAGCGUGGGGAUCAAACAGGAUUAGAUACCCUGGUAGUCCACGCCGUAAACGAUGAGUGCUAAGUGUUAGGGGGUUUCCGCCCCUUAGUGCUGCAGCUAACGCAUUAAGCACUCCGCCUGGGGAGUACGACCGCAAGGUUGAAACUCAAAGGAAUUGACGGGGACCCGCACAAGCGGUGGAGCAUGUGGUUUAAUUCGAAGCAACGCGAAGAACCUUACCAAAUCUUGACAUCCUUUGACAACUCUAGAGAUAGAGCUUUCCCCUUCGGGGGACAAAGUGACAGGUGGUGCAUGGUUGUCGUCAGCUCGUGUCGUGAGAUGUUGGGUUAAGUCCCGCAACGAGCGCAACCCUUAAGCUUAGUUGCCAUCAUUAAGUUGGGCACUCUAAGUUGACUGCCGGUGACAAACCGGAGGAAGGUGGGGAUGACGUCAAAUCAUCAUGCCCCUUAUGAUUUGGGCUACACACGUGCUACAAUGGACAAUACAAAGGGCAGCGAAACCGCGAGGUCAAGCAAAUCCCAUAAAGUUGUUCUCAGUUCGGAUUGUAGUCUGCAACUCGACUACAUGAAGCUGGAAUCGCUAGUAAUCGUAGAUCAGCAUGCUACGGUGAAUACGUUCCCGGGUCU
rnacentral:rRNA from 1 species